GAAGAUCCGCCGAAAAAAUCCACCGCUGGAAGAAAGAAAAAAGAAAGGAACACACGCCAAAGGUCAGCUAAAUGAGGUCACUAUGACCCGCACGUAAAUAUAGCAAAUAGCACAUUGGCUUACUUUUAUUAACCAGCGCCACGCAACGCCCAUCUCUCCCGGCCGUGGGCAAGACUUAAUUUACGUGUGGCCUGGAUGCUGUCUCAUAUUUUUCGCCCUUCCACCUUUUCACUCUUCUUUUUUUACCAGGUCAGCUCUGCGAGAUUAUCCCGGAGCCGAUUAGCCUUCGCGUAUAAAUAGCCCGCAAGCUUUAAAGUACGCUUAGCGAAGGUACGGUGUCCAUCUUUUCUCGAGGCUGCGAGAAAAAAAGAGAAAAAGCUUAGCUUUGUGUGGACUGGAAGAUCAUAAAGUUUUGCUUUUGCUUC
rnacentral:lncRNA from 1 species